rnacentral:rRNA from 1 species
UACAGAGGGUGCGAGCGUUAAUCGGAAUUACUGGGCGUAAAGCGCACGUAGGUGGCGCUGUAAGUCGGGUGUGAAAUUUCGGAGCUUAACUCCGAAACUGCAUUCGAUACUGCGGUGCUUGAGGACUGGAGAGGAGACUGGAAUUCAUGGUGUAGCAGUGAAAUGCGUAGAGAUCAUGAGGAAGACCAGUGGCGAAGGCGGGUCUCUGGACAGUUCCUGACACUGAGGCACGAAGGCCAGGGGAGCAAACGGG